rnacentral:misc_RNA from 1 species
UCCGGUUUGGCACCGGCAGUCCUCCCAGAGUCCUCGGCUUUACCCGGUAGCAACUGGGAGCGGGGGUUGCGCUCGUUGCGGGACUUAACCCAACAUCUCACGACACGAGCUGACGACAGCCAUGCAGCACCUGUGCAGGGACUCCGAAGAGGGGUCCUGGUUUCUCAAGACUUUCCCCUGCAUGUCAAGCCCAGGUAAGGUGGGGAUGACGUACCAAGGUUGGUU